AAAAGAAACUAACAAGGAUUCCCCUAGUAACGGCGAGUGAACAGGGAAGAGCUCAAAUUUGAAAUCUGGCGUGCUCAGCGCGUCCGAGUUGUAAUCUAUAGAGACGUUUUCCGUGCCGGACCGUGUCCAAGUUCCUUGGAACAGGAUAUCAAAGAGGGUGACAAUCCCGUACUUGACACGACCCCCGGUGCUCUGUGAUACGUCCUCUACGAGUCGAGUUGUUUGGGAAUGCAGCUCAAAAUGGGUGGUGAGUUCCAUCUAAAGCUAAAUAUUGGCGAGAGACCGAUAGCGAACAAGUACCGUGAGGGAAAGAUGAAAAGCACUUUGGAAAGAGAGUUAAACAGUACGUGAAAUUGUUAAAAGGGAAACGAUUGAAGUCAGUCGUGUCCGGGAGGCUCAGCCGAUCUUCGGUGUAUUCCUCUCGGACGGGUCAACAUCAGUUUUGUCCGGCGGAUAAGGGUGGCGGGAAGGUAGCACCUUCUUGGUGUGUUAUAGCCCGUCAUCGCAUACGUUGGGUGAGACUGAGGAAUGCAGCUCGCCUUCAUUGGCCGGGGUUCGCCCACGU
rnacentral:rRNA from 1 species